rnacentral:rRNA from 1 species
CGCAUCUGUGCAUGCAGCAUAUCAAUAAGCGGAGGAAAAGAAACUAACAAGGAUUCCCUUAGUAACGGCGAGUGAAGCGGGAAGAGCUCAAAUUUGAAAUCUUCAAGGUUUUACCUUGACGAAUUGUAGUUUAAAGAAGUGUUUUCUGUUGAAGUUUUGGUAAAAGUUCUUUGGAAUAGGACAUCAUAGAGGGUGAGAAUCCCGUAUUUGACCAUUAUUUUCAGCUGUGUGAUACACUUUCAAAGAGUCGGAUUGUUUGGGAAUGCAGUCCAAAAUGGGUGGUAAAUUUCAUCUAAAGCUAAAUAUUGGCGAGAGACCGAUAGCGAACAAGUACCGUGAGGGAAAGAUGAAAAGAACUUUGAAAAGAGAGUUAAACAGUACGUGAAAUUGUCAAAAGGGAAGCGUUUGACACCAGUGUUGUUUUCUCGAAAAUCAAUUAAAAAGAGUUAGCUUUUGUUGUGUAUUGACCUUAACAGCUUGCAUUUCAAUUUUCUUGCUUUUUUUAAUGCACUUUUCGUUUAACAAGUCAACAUCAGUUUCUCUUGUUGUAAAAAGGUCAUUGGAAGGUGGCUUUCUUUUCGGAGAAAGUGUUUAUAGCCUUUGACUCCUGCAAUCGGAGAGACUGAGGUCUGCAGCGUAGAUCCUUCGGGGUUAGAUACAUUUGUGCUAAGUUAUAGCUUUUUAUAGACAACUUGUUGACUAUGAUUAGUCUUGUAGCUUACUCGCUUAUGCUAUUUUACCUACGCUUAGGAUGUUGAACUCUAUCACACACAG